AGGAACCACCGCAGUGGCGGGGCCAGCUCUGGAGCCCUGGAUUCAGCCCCCGCAGUAACUCCGGAGCUCUCCGUCUGCAGUGCCUGGAGGCUCCGGGGCGGG
rfam:Canis lupus familiaris chromosome 21, whole genome shotgun sequence.